rnacentral:misc_RNA from 1 species
GAGAAAAUUCUGCUGGAUUUGUUUCUUUUGUAUUUUCAAAAUAAUUUUGAAAAUAAUCUUCGCUUUAAUAUUGUAGAAAAAAACCAUACAUGCCAUUAAAAAUUUUUGAAUGAAAAGAUAAAAAUUUGACUAAUCGACAUUAUUUGCUAGCCUUUAUGACCAUUCUUUAAAUUUCAUAGUUAACAAAAUAUUGCUCUUAAUGUGUAUACAUUAUUUGAACAUUUUUUUUUUAGUAUUGUUUAAAUUGAAUAUCAUUUCUUUGAACAAACUUAUGUUUAUUUCUUUUCAAAUUUUCUGAAACGCUAAUCAAUAUUCAUGUUAAUUUCAUUAGCUCAUUAAUAAUAGUGGCAUUUUGAAUUAGUUUGAAGAGAAUCUGGUCAGUAUUUAUCAUAAUCAUCGAUAGUCGGCUUUUCCAGUGUCUGAUGACGAGGCUAAAAAUAUCUAAACUGAAUGCACGUGUAGCGCGUGCGAGUUGAGUGUGUACGGAUGUCGAGUCAAGUGGGGUUCGUUUCACUUGUCAUACUUUUCCACAAAGUACUAUUGUUUGUCAGAUAACUUUCUUUCACUGUUAUGAAUAAUUCUUCUUAAUUCAUUUAUUCAAAUAUGUAACAAAAAUGCUACCCCUUAAGACUAUUACUCAUAUUUUUCUUGUUAAUCUUAAACUUAUGUUGUUCGACAAUUUAUUUAUAACUACUGUACUAUGUGAGAAUAAAACUUUACUAAAUGGU